rnacentral:miRNA from 1 species
AAAACCUCAAUGAACUCUUUGG